rnacentral:rRNA from 1 species
UACGUAGGGGGCAAGCGUUGUCCGGAAUUAUUGGGCGUAAAGAGCGUGUAGGCGGCCAGAUAAGUCCGCUGUGAAAUCUCGAGGCUCAACUUCGAGCUGUCGGUGGAAACUAUCUGGCUAGAGUCCGGAAGAGGAGAAUGGAAUUCCUGGUGUAGCGGUGAAAUGCGCAGAUAUCAGGAGGAACACCAAUUGCGAAGGCAGCUCGCUGGGACGUUACUGACGCUGAGACGCGAAAGCGUGGGGAGCAAACAGG